AUUCUAUGUGCAUCAAGUGUAAACUGUUGGGAACCAAGGCUUUAUGGAAGCUUUGAUGAUGUUCUCACCAUUUCCCCUCACUAUAGAAGGUGAUAAUAGCCUAUUAAUUGAUUGAAACAUGAUUCUGAGUGAAUAUUAUUUGUAGGGAUAUAUUCAUACUUAUACCUUUUUUGUAAAAGGUUUUGUUCAGUUUGUUCCGUUAAGUGUCAUUUGGAAUAUGUGCUUAAUAAAGUAUAUGCCAUACACAGCAAAAUCAAUUCUGAGGACUAAUUUUUCUUGCCGUUAGAAUAACGUCAAUCUUGGAGGGAGAAGAUCAUACAAAGUUCACCAAAGAGCUAUUAAUCCGUCUUCUUCAGGGCUGUCAGCUCAGCAAUACAUUUUCAAAGUUGGUAAUUUCUAACAGGUUACUUGACAAGACCCCUUUUUCUAGCAUUUGUGUUAGGAAGAGUGAAGGAUUUCCCAUCUUCAGUUAAAUGAUGUUAACUCCUUGAUGACUUAAUGUAGUCUUUGAUCAUCAGUGAUAAAAUGUACUAUUCCUAAUUCUUCUGUUUUGAUAUUUGGAACUUCUAUAUUAUGGAUAGUUUUGGAGAGAUGGGAGACUGCUAAUUAAAUUCCUAGAAAGUUUGAAUUUGCUAAUGAGAGAUUAAUGAGAUAAAUGUGAAUGUAAAACUAGCCAGAUUUCUUUACAAAUACAGAAUACCCCAAAAAUAAUAAAAAAUUGCAGGGGAGUUAUUUUUUAAAAAUACUUCAGGGAUCCCUAAAUGUCCUGGUUGUGAAAAGUAAAAUUUUUAAGCAUGAGUGCUUUUGCUUUAUAUUCUCUAACUCUGCCAGGAAUGUUGUUAACUUCCUGGGGAGAAAGACAUCAUUUUACAUUUUUCCACCUUGAUAUAUUAUCUUACCUUUUUCCUACCAUGUUAUAGCUAUUUUAAUUUCUUUAAAGUGAACUCAUCAGCCAGUCUAUACAUACUUUAAGGUUUCUAACUGACCUUGGUUGGAUGGAACUGAGUAUUAUAAUAGAGAAAACAGACUCAAAGAUUUUUUUACAAUCAGAGUGGCUUUACAAUGUGUAUUCCCACUUCUAAUCAUUUUAUAGAAAAUUGUCCUGUAGGAAGACUCUAGAGAUAUUCUUAAAAUAUUCAAAGAGAGUUUGCAGUGACUGUGUGCAGCAUAUUACAGAACUGUAUUUUAAACUCAAAAUUCUUAGAAGUAGAACAUGAAUUAUGAAUCAUUAUUUGAAAAUGAGGUGGUCAACUCUUUAUCUUUCAUGAGGCCCUUUGAAUUAUUUUGUGUUUUUAAGACUCUGGAAGGGGUAUGUGCAUACUGUAGAGCAUCUCCCAUGCAGGUGUUCUUCUCUAAUUUUUGAAUCUCCUUGAUGUGAGCAUCAGGUGUUCUUCAAUGGCUGUUGCCUUUUUGGGUCCUUGUUGCCCACUGGGCAGCUGGAUGUCACCAGGAAGAAGGGUAGGAAUGACUGUUUUUGAAAAAGGAAAAGUUACACAAGAGAAACAACAGAACCUUAUUCUACUCACAUCAUUUGUAAAGUCCUAUUUGACCUUAGCUAAGUAGAAGUGAGCACUGGGUAAGGAAAUUAGACUCAAAGAUACUUUAUUAUCAGAGCUGUUUUUGUGGAUUUUUAUUCCAGUUCAUAAUCAUUCUACAGAAUGUCAUCAUCCUGAAAGACUCUAGAGAGGCUAUUAAAAUAUUCUGAGGAAGAUUUUAGUGACUGUGCACAGCAUAUUUUGAGAUUCUCUCUCCUGUAUAAUGAUGUAGAGGGUACCUAGCAAAUGUCUUAAAAUAGACAUUUUUUUCCCAUUCAAAACUAGUGAAUAAUUUUCAUUAUAAUUUAAAGAGAAAUUAGAAAAGGGAAAUAAUUUAAAGCCUGCUUAAUUCACUCUCUGAUAAUAAGUUCUUCUCUACUGAGUCCUACCUCUGUCCUUGCUUUUUAAAAGGAUAUUUAGCACAUGUUCUUCUUCUUCUUGGGUAAGCUCAUUGGAGAUGUUAGGUCAUAAGAAGAAAAAAGAAAACAAACAAAUAUGGGGGGUCAGGAUUCUUAAAAACUGUUUACUUACUGAUCCAGGAGGUUAAAGAGUCAUUAAAAGACAUGAGGACAUGUUAGUGAUACCAACCAAGGUAGUUUUGGCCUGAUGUCUAAUUUCUCCCUCAUAUUACAUGAAUAUCUCUCAAGAGCAAGACAAAAAACAAACAAACAAACAAACAAACCAAAAAAAAAUUCUAAAGAAAAAGGACUUGGGAACAUAGAAAGGGACAGGGUGGUCUGGGCACUCUGUCAGAGUCCUAGGGCAUUGGCUUGUAUGUUCCAAAAUCCUUUGCUUCAAUCUGAGCACACCGAUAGUGCACCAGCACUAGGCGAAGAGUGGGGAAGAUCUCCUGACGAUGUAGAUAAGCUUUGCAGGGGAGAAGGCCUUGAUGCUCAGGUGCUGCUGUCCAGCCAUGGGGUUAAGGAAGUUUUCAAAGAGUCAGAUCACUAGUGUUCCUGUAAUUCCACAUAGAUAUAGUGAGCCCCAAGUCAGUCCAAGAUAAAUUCUCUCCAAACAGUAUUCAAAGCAAAGAAGAAGGAAUUAUAAAACUGUAUGUGCUGGGAGUUCCCAUCAUGGCUCAGCAGAUUAUGAACCCAGUUAGCAUCCAUGAAGAUGCAGGUUCGAUCCCUGGCCUUGCUCAGUGGGUUAAGGACCCCAUGUUGCCUUGAGCUAUGUUGUAGGUCACAGACAUGGCUUGGAUCCCUUGUUGGUAUAGGCUAGCAGCUGCAACCUCAAUUUGAAACCUAGCCUGGGAACUUCCAUAAGCCACAGGUGCAGACCUAAAGAGCUAAAACAAAAAAACAAAAAGAACAGAAAAGAAAAUGAAAAAAAGAAAGACAGACAGACAGACAGAAAGAAAGAAAAAGUGAUUGGAGGCCCUCAUGUCAGCCUUGUGGAAUUAGUGACUCUUUGUGUCAGGAUAGUUGCCAAAGGAUUGGAAGAUUUUCCACAUGCCUUGUAUGUUCCAUUGGGAGAAAUAUAAUACAGAUUCUACUACAACAUGUUUCUUAAACAUGAGCCAGGCCUGUUUAGAGUAAGCUGUGCAUAAGGUGAAAUAUGUUUCCUUUGGCAAUAGAAAAGUUUGGAAAGACUUGGAUUUAUAUGUUUAUUCUAGUACUUUGUAAGUGAGAAUACCUCAAACAUCUUAAUUAACUAUUCCUACUGUGAAAUUCUUCAUCUGUGAAAUAAGAUUAGUUAAAAUUAUUUCCCCGCUUGACACCAGGAUUUCUCUUUAAAAAUGAAAGUCUUUAUUUAGGAACAGACUCCAACUGGGGUACUACAUGAGUUUGUAAGAAAUGGGAUGGGGGGAUGACAGUCCAUCCAUUUGGAUAAGUUGGUAAAAAUAAGGGAUUUUGUGUAACAUGGAGGAAUAAUGUUCUAUUUUAAAUCACCUGCUAUAGUCUUGCAAUGAAAUGUUUGUCCCUUAUUACCCCCUGAAUCUCUUCUGUGUAAGAGUCCAUAGCAAAUUUGGUAUCUCCCAUAAAUGGCAGUUUUGGGGUGGGGGGAUGUAUAAUCAAUAAAUAAAAAAUGGGGAGUUCCUUCCAUGGUACAGUGGGUUAAGAAUUCCAGUGUAGGGGCUCAGGUCACUGCAGAGGUGCUGGUUCAAUCCCCAGCUUAGCAUAAUGGGUUAAAGUAUCUGGUGUUGCUGCAGCUGUGGCUGGGAUUCAGUCCCUGGCCUAGGAACUUCCAUAUGCCAAGGGUGCAAUUAUAAAAAGGAAAAAAAAGAAUUGAAAAAUGAGUCCUAAGAGUAAGUCAAUAAAUAAGCAGCAAUAAUGUACAUAAUAGAAAUUUAAUAAUCCAUAGGAAGAAUGCAAGCAAAUUUGGAACUGCUGGCUUUAGCAGAAAUGUUGGAGAAGGCAUUGGCUCUUCCAUGUGAAUAGGAUGGAUUUUGAAAUGAUUUUGCAGAGAUCUCAAGGGACAGGAUGCUGUGCCGUAUCUUGAUAAAGCAGCUGAUAUGGUUGUGAGAGUACAAAAUUAGAUUAAAUUACAUAAUGCAAGCACAUUAUUUCAACAGUUCAACCAUAUUCACCUUUCUGAUAAAUCUGUUACUCCUCCUCUCUUUGCUUCCCUUGGAUUUCUAUGCUCUCAUGUUUAGCACGGCUACCCAAGUCUUCUAGUCUAGAAUCCUACUUGGAUCUACUGUUAACUGGUAACGUUCUAUUAGGAAAUUGAGUUAUUAAAAUGAGGAUAAUAACAUUUUCCUCAAAAAGUUGCAAGAAUCCACUAAAAUAAAAUAUAGUAAGGAGGCAAUUUACAGAAGGUGCUAUAAAAUAUAAGCUUUAUUGAUUUAUUUUUCUUGUUUUAUUAUUUAAUUUUUUUCCACUGUACAGCAUGGGGAUCAAGUUAUCCUUACAUGUACACAUUUUUCCCCACCCUUUGUUCUGUUGCAAUAUAAGUAUCAAGACAUAGUUCUCAAUGCUACUCAGCAGAAUCUCCUUGUAAAUCCAUUCCAAGCUGUAUCCAAUAACCCCAAGCCUGAUCCCUCCCAUUUCCUCCCUCUCCCCCCCAGCAGCCACAAGUCUAUUCUCCAAGUCCAUGAUUUUCUUUUCUGUGGAAAGGUUCAUUUGUGCUGGAUAUUAGAUUCCAGUUAUAAGUGAUAUCAUAUGUUAUUUGUUUUUGUCUUUCUGGCUCAUUUCACUCAGUAUGGGAGUCUCUAGUUCCAUCCAUGUUGCUGCAAAUGGCAUUAUGUCGUUCUUUUUUAUAGCUGAGUAGUAUUCCAUUGUGUAUAUAUACCAUAUCUGCCUAAUCCAAUCCUGUGUUGAUGGACAUUUAGGUCAUUUCCAUGUCUUGGCUAUUGUGAAUAUUGCUGCAAUGAACAUGUGGGUGCAUGUGUCUCUUUUAAGUAGAGUUCUUUCCGGAUAUAUGCCCAAGAGUGGGAUUGCAGGGUCAUAUGGAAGUUCUAUGUAUAGAUUUCUAGGGUAUCUCCAUACUGUUCUCCAUAGUGCCUAUAUCAGCUUACAUUCCCACCNAGGUUCCCUUUUCUCCACAACCAGUCCAACACUUGUUAUUUGUGUACUUCUUAAUGAUGGCCAUUUUGAGUGGUGUGAGGUAGUAUCUCAUGGUAGUUUUGAUUUGCAUUUCUCUUAUAAUCAGUGAUGUUGAACAUUUUUUCAUGUGCUUGUUGGCCAUCUGUAUAUCUUCCUUGGAGAACAGUCUAUUCAGGUCUUUUGCCCAUUUUUACAUUGGUUGAUUGGUUUUUUUGCUGUUAGAUUGUAUAAGUUGUUUAUAUAUUCUAGAGAUUAAGCCCUUGUCCAUUGCAUCAUUUGAAACUAUUUUCUCCCAUUCUGAAAGUUGUCUUUUGGUUUUCUUUUUGGUUUCCUUUGCUGUGCAAAAACUUUUCAGUUUGAUUAGGUCCCAUGGGUUUAUUUUUGCUCUUAUUUCUAUUGAUCUGGGAGACUGAUCUGAGAAAAUAUUCAUGAUGUUGAAGUCAGAGAGUGUUUUGCCUAUGUUCUCUUCUAGGAGUUUGAUGGUGUCUUGUCUUAUAUUUGAGUCUUUCAGCCAUUUUGAGUUUAUUUUUGUGCAUGGUGUGAGGGUGUGUUCUAGUUUCAUUGCUUUGCAUGCAGCUGUCCAGGUUUCCCAGCAAUGCUUGCUGAAUAGACUUUCUUUUUCCCAUUUGAUGUUCUUGCCUCCCUUGUCAAAGAUUAAUUGACCCUAGGUGUCAGGGUUUAUUUCUGGGUUCUCUAUUCUUUUCCAUUGGUCUGUCUGUCUGUUUUGAUACCAGUACCACACUGCUUUGAUGACUGUGGCUUUGUAAUAUUGCAACAUAAGCUUUAUAUUUAAACAGCAGCCCAUUACUAUGUGAUGCAGCAAUCCCACUCAUAGGCACAUAUCAGGACAAAUCAUUCAUUCAAAAAAUACAUGCACCCCUAUGUUCAUUGCAGCACUAUUCACAAUAGCCAACACAUGGAAACACCCCAAAUGUCCAUUGACAGAGGAAUGAUUAAGAAGAUGUGGUACAUAUAUACAAUGAAAUACUCCUUAGCCAUAAAAAAGAAUGGAUUAAUUCCAUUCAUAACAACAUGGAUGGAAAUAGAGAAUCUCAUACUAAAUGAAGUAUUCAGAAAGAGAAAGGCAAAUACCAUAUUAUAUCACUUAUUUGUGUCAUCUAAAAUAUGGCACAAAUAAUUCUAUCUACAAAACAGAAGCAGACACAGAUCACAGUUAAUGAGAGGAAACUGGUUGCUGGCGUGAGGGGAGAGGGUAUGGGAUGGACAGGGAGUUUGGGGUUGGUGGAUGCAAACUGUUACAUUUGGAAUGGAUGGGCAGUGGGGUCCUCUUACAGCAUAGGAAACUGUAUGAUUGUGUCACUUUGCUGUAAAACAGAAAUUGUAGAAACAUUGUAAAUUAACUAUACUUUAAUGAAAAAGAGAGAGUGAGAGAAUAAAAUAAUAGAAGCUCUUCCCCAAACAACCACCUCUUUUUCCUGACAGCAGAGCUGGGAGGAAACUUAGUGACUCUCCAGCACUCUUUGACAGGACCCUCUGUUUAACUACAUAUCAGAACCAGAGCUCUAUCCUCUCAAUGGCCAGGCCAGGGGCCCUGAUCUUUUUCAGGGGGACUCUGUUCAGAAAGAUGUGCUCUCAGUAAACCCAGACUAGAGAAAGUGAUAACCGACCUGAGAAAGUCCUAGUCCCUCAGUCCCUUCACAUCCAGAGGAUCCUUUCAAACUAACUUUCGACCAAGUAAAUGGCCAUACAUAGAGAUGGAUGCCAGGCACUUAGAACAUAUUCGUGGAUUGGCUGAUCUAUUUUCAUUUGGUUGUCAUGGCUGGAUUGAACUUUUUCAGAACUUACUGUAUAUGAAUAAUGGCUCGGUUAUCAUUUCUUUACAUGAAAAUUCGGCAGCACUGAUUUAGGGUGGGUUGAAAGUGGGGUGAGUGUAGGCCUGCCUUUCUGUAGAAUUUUUCCUGCUCUCAUUUAACUCAGUUCCUCCAAUGGCAACAACACAUUGCACAGUUAUCCUUUUAUAUCUCCGUUGACAGCUUUGAUGUCCCACUCUGUCUUCCUAUAUCCUCCAGACGGAUAACACACAUACCUUCCCACAUAUAUCUUAUUUAGUAAAUUCUCUACCAUCUUGUGAAUUCCUUGAAAGCUUCCCAUCUGUUUUUCUUUGAAGGAAGCCCAUGUAAAGAAAAUCAAAGGGCAAGUAGAAAUAAAAGUGCAAAUAUAUCUUAUUUUACCUUUUUAAAAAUCUAUUUCAUUUUUCUUAUUUGCUCAUUAGCAGGAAUAAUUUGUAAAAAGGAAAUAAACCUGAUAUCUAAAUGAAUAAUUGCCUUUCUGAAAACAAUUUAUAUUUGGAGUUGGUGCUGAAUACAAUUGCAAUCAAUGUCUAGGUACAAAAAAGAGUUCAUUUUUUAAUUCCAUUGGUAAAGUGUUCAUUAGAUUGAUAUUGGAUGUAAUCUGGAUGAUGCAGACAUGAACAGGAAUAUGGAUACAGUUUUUUCUAAGCCUUUAUCUCAGAAGAAUACAAGAUAACUUAAAACAUCUUUGUCAAGGUUUCUUGAGAGACUGAAUACAUUUUGAAACCGCUCGGUAUUUACCUCAUGUUUAGUCUGGCCUGUAAUUUUACUUGAGAUUGAACAAGAAACAAUGAAAAAAUUCAUUUUUAACACACACACCUCUGUUCAUGGUCCAUUUUCAUGAUGUUGGUUUCUGAGGUUUAGAUGAUAGUUGUUUUUGCCAUCUCUCUUCUUUUUUAGGAAAAAAAAAAAAAAGCUAGGAAUGCUAAGUACGUCUUCCAUGUCCAGAUGUUAUGAUGGACAAAUUUGUCCAGUAUGAGUUUUAUUAACAAAGUAAGGCAAACCAUAAAAUAAUAUGUUUUUGGAUUUCCCCCUGUGGUAUAGUCAGUUAAGUAUCCAGCAUUGCCACAGCUGUGGCUUAGGUUACACCUACAGCUUGGAUUUGAUCCCUGGGAACUUUCAUAUGCUGAGGGUGCAGCCAAAAAAAAAAAAAAAA
rnacentral:lncRNA from 1 species